rnacentral:misc_RNA from 1 species
AACGCACAUUGCGCCCUUUGGUAUUCCGAAGGGCAUGCCUGUUCGAGCGUCAUUUUCACCCCUCAAGCCCCCGGCUUGGUGUUGGACGGCAUGGUCAGGCGACUGACCCCUCCUAAAGACAAUGACGGCGGCCUAGUUCGACCCCCGGUACACUGAGCUUCUUAACCGAGCACGUACCGGACCCUCGCGGUCGACGGGACCCGGUCUCCAUAACCCUUUAAUUUACAAGGUUGACCUCGGAUCAGGUAGGGAUACCCGCUGAACUUAA